UACAGAGGUCUCAAGCGUUGUUCGGAUUCAUUGGGCGUAAAGGGUGUGUAGGUGGCGCGCUAAGUCGGGUGUGAAAUUUCGGAGCUUAACUCCGAAACUGCAUUCGAUACUGGCGUGCUUGAGGACUGGAGAGGAGACUGGAAUUUACGGUGUAGCAGUGAAAUGCGUAGAUAUCGUAAGGAAGACCAGUGGCGAAGGCGGGUCUCUGGACAGUUCCUGACACUGAGACACGAAGGCCAGGAGAGCAAACGGG
rnacentral:rRNA from 1 species